rnacentral:rRNA from 1 species
GGGUUUGAUCCUGGCUCAGGACGAACGCUGGCGGCGUGCUUAACACAUGCAAGUCGAACGGAAAGGCCCUGCUUUUGUGGGGUGCUCGAGUGGCGAACGGGUGAGUAACACGUGAGUAACCUGCCCUUGACUUUGGGAUAACUUCAGGAAACUGGGGCUAAUACCGGAUAGGAGCUCCUGCUGCAUGGUGGGGGUUGGAAAGUUUCGGCGGUUGGGGAUGGACUCGCGGCUUAUCAGCUUGUUGGUGGGGUAGUGGCUUACCAAGGCUUUGACGGGUAGCCGGCCUGAGAGGGUGACCGGCCACAUUGGGACUGAGAUACGGCCCAGACUCCUACGGGAGGCAGCAGUGGGGAAUAUUGCACAAUGGGCGGAAGCCUGAUGCAGCAACGCCGCGUGCGGGAUGACGGCCUUCGGGUUGUAAACCGCUUUCGCCUGUGACGAAGCGUGAGUGACGGUAAUGGGUAAAGAAGCACCGGCUAACUACGUGCCAGCAGCCGCGGUGAUACGUANGGUGCGAGCGUUGUCCGGAUUUAUUGGNCGUAAAGGGCUCGUANGUGGUUGAUCGC